CUUCGGUGGUACUCGAGCGGCGAACGGGUGAGUAACACGUGAGUAAUCUGCCCUUGGCUUCGGGAUAGCCACCGGAAACGGUGAUUAAUACCGGAUAUGACCGUCUGCCGCAUGGUGGGUGGUGGAAAGUUUUUUCGGCCAGGGAUGUGCUCGCGGCCUAUCAGCUUGAUGGUGAGGUAAUGGCUCACCAUGGCUUCGACGGGUAGCCGGCCUGAGAGGGUGACCGGUCACACUGGGACUGAGACACGGCCCAGACUCCUACGGGAGGCAGCAGUGGGGAAUAUUGGACAAUGGGCGGAAGCCUGAUCCAGCAACGCCGCGUGAGGGAUGACGGCCUUCGGGUUGUAAACCUCUUUCAGCAGGGACGAAGCGCAAGUGACGGUACCUGCAGAAGAAGCACCGGCCAACUACGUGCCAGCAGCCGCGGUAAUACGUAGGGUGCGAGCGUUGUCCGGAAUUAUUGGGCGUAAAGGGCUCGUAGGCGGUUUGUCGCGUCGGGAGUGAAAACCAGGUGCUUAACACCUGGCUUGCUUUCGAUACGGGCAGACUAGAGGUAUUCAGGGGAGAACGGAAUUCCUGGUGUAGCGGUGAAAUGCGCAGAUAUCAGGAGGAACACCGGUGGCGAAGGCGGUUCUCUGGGAAUGACCUGACGCUGAGGAGCGAAAGUGUGGGGAGCGAACAGGAUUAGAUACCCUGGUAGUCCACACCGUAAACGUUGGGCGCUAGGUGUGGGGUCCAUUCCACGGAUUCCGUGCCGCAGCUAACGCAUUAAGCGCCCCGCCUGGGGAGUACGGCCGC
rnacentral:rRNA from 1 species